rnacentral:rRNA from 1 species
GACGAACGCUGGCGGCGUGCUUAACACAUGCAAGUCGAACGGGAACCUUUAUUUCGGUAAAGGUGAGAGUGGCAAACGGGUGAGUAACACGUAGGCAACCUGCCGACAGGAUGGGGACAACAUUCCGAAAGGAAUGCUAAUACCGAAUGAAGUCACCGGAGGGCAUCCUCUGGUGAUGAAAGAUGGCCUCUGAAUAUGCUAUCACCUGUCGAUGGGCCUGCGUCUGAUUAGCCAGUUGGCGGGGUAACGGCCCACCAAAGCGACGAUCAGUAGCCGGUCUGAGAGGAUGAACGGCCACAUUGGGACUGAGACACGGCCCAGACUCCUACGGGAGGCAGCAGUGGGGAAUCUUCCACAAUGGGCGAAAGCCUGAUGGAGCAACGCCGCGUGAGUGAAGAAGGUCUUCGGAUCGUAAAGCUCUGUUGCACGGGACGAAAACUGGGUUUGAGAACAUUGAACCUGGGUGACGGUACCGAGCGAGGAAGCCACGGCUAA